rnacentral:rRNA from 1 species
AUUGAACGCUGGCGGCAUGCCUUACACAUGCAAGUCGAACGGUAACAGGUUAUUCUGAUGAGUGACGAACGGGUGAGUAAUGUAUCGGUACCUGCCCAGUCGUGGCGGCUAAUUGCUCGAACGAGCAGUUAACAGCACACACGACCUCAGAGUGAAAGCGGCGCCUGGCAAGACCCCGGCCUCUUGGAGCCUCGGAUAUCAGAUUAGGUCGUUGGUGAGGUAUAGUCUCUCCAUGCCGACGAUCUAUAGCUGGUCUAAGUGGACGACCGGCACCACUCGGACUGAGACACGGCCCAGACUCCUACGGGAGGCCGCAGUGGGGUACUUUGGACAACAGGCGCAAGCCUGAUCCAGCAAUGCCGCGAGCGGUAAGAAGGCAUUCGGGUUGUAAACCACUUUUGUCAGGGAAGAAAAGGUUCUGGCUAAGACCUGGAACUCAUGACGGUACCUGAAGAAUAAGCACCGGCUAACUACGUG